rnacentral:rRNA from 2 species
UGCUUCUAUGACGUUAGCGGCGGACGGGUGAGUAACACGUGGGCAACCUGCCUGUAAGACUGGGAUAACUUCGGGAAACCGAAGCUAAUACCGGAUAGGAUCUUCUCCUUCAUGGGGGAUGAUUGAAAGAUGGUUUCGGCUAUCACUUACAGAUGGGCCCGCGGUGCAUUAGCUAGUUGGUGAGGUAACGGCUCACCAAGGCAACGAUGCAUAGCCGACCUGAGAGGGUGAUCGGCCACACUGGGACUGAGACACGGCCCAGACUCCUACGGGAGGCAGCAGUAGGGAAUCUUCCGCAAUGGACGAAAGUCUGACGGAGCAACGCCGCGUGAGUGAUGAAGGCUUUCGGGUCGUAAAACUCUGUUGUUAGGGAAGAACAAGUAUGAGAGUAACUGCUCGUACCUUGACGGUACCUAACCAGAAAGCCACGGCUAACUACGUGCCAGCAGCCGCGGUAAUACGUAGGUGGCAAGCGUUAUCCGGAAUUAUUGGGCGUAAAGCGCGCGCAGGCGGUUUCUUAAGUCUGAUGUGAAAGCCCACGGCUCAACCG